rnacentral:rRNA from 1 species
UGGGUCCAACCUCCCACCCGUGUCUAUCGUACCUUGUUGCUUCGGCGGGCCCGCCGUUUCGACGGCCGCCGGGGAGGCCCUGCGCCCCCGGGCCCGCGCCCGCCGAAGACCCCAACAUGAACGCUGUUCUGAAAGUAUGCAGUCUGAGUUGAUUAUCGUAAUCAGUUAAAACUUUCAACAACGGAUCUCUUGGUUCCGGCAUCGAUGAAGAACGCAGCGAAAUGCGAUAAGUAAUGUGAAUUGCAGAAUUCAGUGAAUCAUCGAGUCUUUGAACGCACAUUGCGCCCCCUGGUAUUCCGGGGGGCAUGCCUGUCCGAGCGUCAUUGCUGCCCUCAAGCACGGCUUGUGUGUUGGGCCCCCGUCCCCCUCUCCCGGGGGACGGGCCCGAAAGGCAGCGGCGGCACCGCGUCCGGUCCUCGAGCGUAUGGGGCUUUGUCACCUGCUCUGUAGGCCCGGCCGGCGCCAGCCGACACCCAACUUUAUUUUUCUAAGGUUGACCUCGGAUCAGGUAGGGAUACCCGCUGAACUUAAGCAUAUCAAUAAACGGAGGAA